CCUACGGGAGGCUGCAGUGGGGAAUAUUGGACAAUGGGGGCAACCCUGAUCCAGCCAUGCCGCGUGUGUGAAGAAGGCCCUCGGGUUGUAAAGCACUUUCAGUGAGGAAGAACGCCUGGUGGUUAAUACCCAUCAGGAAAGACAUCACUCACAGAAGAAGCACCGGCUAACUCCGUGCCAGCAGCCGCGGUAAUACGGAGGGUGCGAGCGUUAAUCGGAAUUACUGGGCGUAAAGCGCGCGUAGGUGGCUUGAUAAGCCGGUUGUGAAAGCCCCGGGCUCAACCUGGGAACGGCAUCCGGAACUGUCAAGCUAGAGUGCAGGAGAGGAAGGUAGAAUUCCCGGUGUAGCGGUGAAAUGCGUAGAGAUCGGGAGGAAUGCCAGUGGCGAAGGCGGCCUUCUGGACUGACACUGACACUGAGGUGCGAAAGCGUGGGUAGCAAACAGGAUUAGAUACCCUAGUAGUC
rnacentral:rRNA from 1 species